UUUUGGUUUAAGUUUCAAAUUGUUUAUUUACUUCAGGGGAAAAUCAGCCUUUGAAAUGGGCUAUGAGGUUGAGAGUGGCAUUGUGUUUAGCACAAGCCUUGGAAUAUUGUAGCAGUAAAGGAAGAUCAUUGUACCACGACCUUAAUGCUUAUAGAGUUCUAUUUGACCAGGAUGGUAAUCCCAGGCUCUCUUGCUUUGGCCUCAU